UAUUUCACUUUUUGGGGAGAAAUAAGAGACUGUUAGAAGGAGCAAAUAAAUGGCAAUGCAUAAACUACAGAUCCCAUAAUGCACUGUGAGGUCUUUACCCACUAUAAGGCUAUUACUGGAAGUGAGGGAGCCUGACUGCUGUUGCGUGUGCUAUUUAGCUGACAAAAAUUUUGGGCAACCAGGCUGUAGACUUUUAUCACUGGCAUGUGGAAAGGGCCUUCAUCUCCCAUGAUGCACUAUAAGGGUUGACCAUAAGAGCCUCUCUGAACCGUCCCCCACUCUAGUGCUGAGGCCACUGACUGUCGCUACGAUGAAUGUGACCGUUGGCAAAUGACCGUUGGCAAAUGACAGUUGGAAAAUGACCGUUGGCAUUUACAGCAGAGGCAGAGAAAUUUGUCUAAUGGUUCAGAAAAAACUACAAAAACAAAUGAAGGAGUAUCACAGAAGGCGACCACUCCAGCACCAACGGGAGGAAAGAAAAAAGAAUGAGAUCCUGAUAACCCAGCACAGCUCUCUCCAGAGCCAAUAUGAAGGGGGCGUGGGAGCUCCCACCAGCAACAGGUCACCUGCUCCCCAUACAAUGAUGUCAAUAACUGGAGGAUUGAGAAGGACCUUGCACAGUAAAGUGAGAGUGGGGAUGUAUUUCAUUCAGAGUUUAACUCAAGAAGGAGAAUCUGAUUACAUUUCCGGAAGUGGUUGGAGAGAAAGCUUUGAGAGUUACCACCAAAGCCUGGUGUGGAACAUGGAGGAGCACAGAGGGGAGUCAGUACCACUUAUCUUUUCCCACCUCUCCACCAGACUCAGAUUCAGCUCUUGGACAACCCAGUGAUAUUCUGCCAACCUCAGUGCCCUGACUUACUCUGCUUUACUGAUUUUCUACCUACUGCACCAGCGGAGAAGGAUCUACUACAUCCCACAAGGGCCACCAGCAUGUGGGCACAGUUCCUGCUGCUGUCGCUGACUCUGCUGUCGCUGGAGAAGGAUGAAGGAUCCACCGGAUAAGAAGCCACCAAAGGGGGUGAAGAAGUAUCUGCUGCUGAAUUUUAGAGCUUUGUUAUGUCUGUAUAUGCCAGUGGGAACAUGAGUAUACAGACUACAUUCAAUGAUGGGGAAUGGAGGGAGAUUCCCAGGAAUGACCAUUAGAAACAGAAUCUCCAACCAGUUAAUCCAGCUGUACCCACAGGAGGACUGGCACGUGUCACUCACAGGAUAUUUCACUUUUUAGGGAGAAAUAAGAGACUGUUAGAAGGAGCAAAUAAAUGGCAAUGCAUAAACUACAGAUCCCAUAAUGCACUGUGAGGUCUUUACCCACUAUAAGGCUAUUACUGGAAGUGAGGGAGCCUGACUGCUGUUGCGUGUGCUAUUUAGCUGACAAAAAUGUUGGGCAACCAGGCUGUAGACUUUUAUCACUGGCAUGUGGAAAGGGCCUUCAUCUCCCAUGAUGCACUAUAAGGGUUGACCAUAAGAGGUAGGUAGCGUUUGUAUUGCUUAUAAUGUCAUGAUCAGGGCUGGCUUGUAACAGGACUACAGAUCCCAUCAUGCUCUAUGAUUCCUUGGUUAUAUCAAUACAGGGGCCACAUUCCUAUUGCUUCCCAUAACCAGCUCUGCUCUGAUCAGUGCCCCCUGCACCCAUAAUGGCAGGAAUCCUAAGGGCAGACAUUUAUUCUUCUGAUUUGUGCUACUUGUCUUUCUACUUAAGCCUCUCUGAACCGUCCCCCACUCUAGUGCUGAGGCCACUGACUGUCGCUACGAUGAGUGUGACCGUUGGCAAAUGACCGUUGGCAAAUGACUGUUGGAAAAUGACCGUUGGCAAAUGACCGUUGGCAAAUGACCGUUGGCAAAUGACAGUUGGAAAAUGACCGUUGGCAUUUACAGCAGAGGCAGAGAAAAUUGUCUAAUGGUUCAGAAAAAACUACAAAAACAAAUGAAGGAGUAUGACAGAAGGCGACCACUCCAGCACCAACGGGAGGAAAGAAAAAAGAAUGAGAUCCUGAUAACCCGGCACAGCUCUCUCCAGAGCCAUCUCAUUACAGUGUCGCACAGAGCAGCGCCCCCAAUCUCUGUCCCAUCCUGCACGAUUAUGAAAUCGGGGACACCGAGGACGGGGUUUAAUAAAAGGGGACAUCCACGUGAUAACCAGGUGGCGAUAACCGAGUUGCUGCUCUUUUCAGAUAGAACUAAUCAAUACGGAAGAGUGACCGUGAGCAGGUAUGUGUGUGAUACUCUGAGUUCCCUGUAUAACUCAGCCUGCAGCCUUGUGCCUUUAUAUGGUCACAGAACAACCCC